rnacentral:rRNA from 1 species
ACUCCUGCGGGAGGCAGCAGUGGGGAAUAUUGCACAAUGGGCGCAAGCCUGAUGCAGCCAUGCCGCGUGUAUGAAGAAGGCCUUCGGGUUGUAAAGUACUUUCAGCGGGGAGGAAGGCAAUACGGUUAAUAACCGUGUUGAUUGACGUUACCCGCAGAAGAAGCACCGGCUAACUCCGUGCCAGCAGCCGCGGUAAUACGGAGGGUGCAAGCGUUAAUCGGAAUUACUGGGCGUAAAGCGCACGCAGGCGGUCUGUCAAGUCGGAUGUGAAAUCCCCGGGCUCAACCUGGGAACUGCAUUCGAAACUGGCAGGCUUGAGUCUUGUAGAGGGGGGUAGAAUUCCAGGUGUAGCGGUGAAAUGCGUAGAGAUCUGGAGGAAUACCGGUGGCGAAGGCGGCCCCCUGGACAAAGACUGACGCUCAGGUGCGAAAGCGUGGGGAGCAAACAGGAUUAGAAACCCGGGUAGUCCCAUG